UAUCUUCCAAAUUUAAAACAGUACACAAAAAAUCAUCAACCAAAUUCAUAUGAUCUUAUCAAAAUACAAACUCAAAAGUUAAAUAGUAAAAAGAAAUAUCUAAAUAUUAAAUUUUGACUUUGAGGGUUAACAGGAUCACUUAACACCUCAGAUUCUAAUUUAGAAAUGUCAGGAGACAAAGGAUUAUCAAUUUCAAAAGAAUGUUGAGCUAGUUCAGUUAGAAAAUGUUGAUCAUUCUGUGGUAUUAUGCUAACUGAACAUGAACUUGAACCUUGCAAGAAGACCUUUUCGGUUUAAUCUUAGGCAGCGUUGCGUUCAUCUGUUGUAAGAGAGCUCUCUUAGCAACAGAUUCUUCUUGCUGAGCAAGCCAUAAACGGGAUCUAGUGUUGUUUCCAAGUUGAGGGGGGUGAGAGGUUCAAGGUGAAGACCUUGUUAUUUACAA